rnacentral:lncRNA from 1 species
CGAUUAUUCAAUAAUGAUAUCGAUCAACGCGCUUCUAGUUAAGCUUUAUGCGCGGGUUGAAUGAUAGCUUACUAAGAUCACUAGAUCAGCUCUCACCUUACUCAUAGCAAGAAACUUAGCUCAGUUAAAAUGUUUUCAGGAUGAGAAUGAAGCUCUCGCUUUAUCUAUCAAUCCUAGGGUAAGUUCUAGGUAGCUAAUCUAAAGACAUGCACUAAUGAACAAUCCUAAUGACAAUUACCACAAUUCAGAAAUCUAUAGUUGGGGCUAAUC